GAAGCACAGAUGAUCUCUGAAGAGCCUCCAGGUCAUACUUUCCUUUUCUUCCCUUUUCUUUCUGGAAAAGUUACAGUGGCAGCUGGAUAGCUCUAUAGUCUUCUUCUGUGGGACCCCGGAAGUGCAGCAGUCUUUCUUCAUUCUUUUCCACUUUCUCUGUCUCCCUUAGUUCAAGCUGGCGGUGUUUCAGCUCAUAUGAUUCUAUAAUCAUUUUGUCAAGUAACGGUCCAGUCACAGCCUUAUUUUUCUCUUUAGAACAUGCUUUCUCCUUUUUUUCAAUAUGCAUGGGCUGAGAAUUCUCCAAAUCUUUAAGUUCUGAUACCUUUCUGAUUAAUAAUUUCUUCUUCAAUUCAUCUCUUGCAUCCGAUUGUUUUACUAUAGGCAGUCCGCAGGAUCCAGGAUGCACCUGCAAUAUUUUGCUUAGAAAUCUCCUUAGAUAAAAAUCUAGUUUCAUUAUUAACAAAUGUUUCUUUCCCUAAACACUACAACAUAUUCAGCUGAGUUCUUUUUACAAAGACUUCAGUGACCAGUAAUCUGGUCCUAGUUUCUAUCUGAGACCUCACCAGAAUGACCUUUAUCAUCCAUACUUCUUCCACCAUUCUCUUUAUGGUGUCUAUAUAUUCUCUAAAAAGAAUAUAUAUAAUACAACCAGUGGGUAGAGGCAAGGAGGUGUAUCUAAAAAUGCUACAAUGAGCAGAAUACCCUCUAACCCCCUUCUUUAUUUCUGAUUCCUCACCAGAACUGCUUUUAACAUCUUCCACAUUUCUACCAACAAUCUCUUAAUAAUGUCAACGUAGUAUUUUUCUAGCAUGCAUCUCAAAACUCUUCUGGCCUCUACCCAUGACCCAGAUCCAAAACCAUGCCCAAAGUUUUAGAUAUUUCUUAGAGCAGCACUACACCUCACAGAACCAAAAUCUCUGUUCAUAUGUUUGGGUCAUCCUAACUCGUCUGCAUAGGCUAGGUGGAUUAAACAACAUAAAUUUGCUUCUUACAGUUCUGGAGGCCAGAAGUCCAAAAUUCAGAUGCUUUCAAGGUAGAUUUCAUUCUGAGGACUCUUAGGUUGUAAGUGGCCACAGACUGUGUGCUCACAUGACCAUUAUGUGCAAGGACAGAAAGAGAGAGAGGUCUCUGUUAUCUCUUUUCAUAAAGACAUUAAUUCUAUUAGAUCAGGAACCCACCCUUGUGACUUCAUUUAACUUUAAUUACUUCCUUAGAGGCCCCAUUGCCAAAUAUAGUCACAUUUGGGGUGAAGGCUUUUAAGAAAUGAAUUUUGGAAAGACACGAGCAUUUAGUCCACAGUGCAAAGAAUGUUAUGCCACUAACUAAAGGGUAUGAAAACACGUUUUUUUCCCAGAAUAAGGGAGAAUAAACCCCCUAGCAAAUAUAUGCCACCUUUGCUCAAUGUGUUACAAAAUCUUUUAGGAACCUUUUCAUUACUUCCUACUGCCUCAAUCCUAGGCAAUAUGCAGGAAGAGAAUGCCAUUCUAUCAUCUGUUUUAUUAUCCUCAAUCCUCCUAGACUCUGCUUGCACACCCAGUUCUCUCUUUACCAUCAGUCAUAUGACAUAAACUCUACCCAUCAAGGCAAUAGAAGUGAAAAGACACUAGUAACUUGUUGAUGUUAGUUAAACAUAAACUCCCUGUUUCACAUGACAUAAGCUAUAUUUUUUAAAAUGCUAUGUAAUUUAUGGCUUUCAUUGAAGAGUUAUAUCCUGGUAUAUAGAGCCAUGUUCUCACUAUGUUGCCCAGGCUGGUCUCAAAUUCCCAGCCUCAAGCAAUCCUCCCACCUGGGCCUCCCAAAGUGCUGGGACAUCAGUUAUGAGCCACAGUACCUGGCCUACUUAGUCUAAAUCAAUGAGUUUUACUAUGUGAUGAGUUAAAACAAUCAUGGAGCCUUUUCAUGUUUUCAGAAUGAUAAAUACAUAUUAUUUGCGGUCCUGACAAAUGGUACUUUGAGUUUCCAUACAGAAGCCACAUAAAAUUAAAUCAUAAUACACAGCAGAUGAAGCUAUACACAUUUCACUGAAGUAGUUUGGGGUGAAGGGUAGUUAGUCAUGAAGCCAGGGUUUGAGAGGUGAGGGUAGAAUUUUUUGUUGGAAAAGCAGAAAAAAAGAUUAGGGUAGAGAAAACCAAAAAUAAUCUUACAGAAAUGGAGUGAAGGAGGUCUUGAUUUCCAGAAGAGGUUAUAUUCUGGGUGAUGGCCAAGAAAAAUAAUGAAGUACAGCAUAGUGAAUUUGUCUAACUCCUCUGGAGUAUGUCAAACAAUCUAGUUAUUCAGUUUAGCUUCAUUGUGAAAUAGGAACUAAUGGAGGUAGUCUGUAAAGGGACUGCUCUGUAGAGAUGGGGAAAUACAAGAAUGUGAGCGUGGGGAUACAUGCGAGAGCAUGGUCUCACAGUUAGAGCCAAGUAAAUAAGCCCUGUGAUCGGCGGCAUGGGUAGCAGCUAUAGUUGGGGAUGGGUGAGUGGAUGAUUUGAGAACAGCUUUUGCAAACUAUUCUCUGUAGUCUCAAACAUAUAGAUCAUCUUCUCCUACGAUUUACUAUUACAAAUGGCUAAUUUCGUCAAUUAUGUGUCAGUGCUUAUUAUUUCCAGUGUCAGAGGACAUCCUUUUAUAGUCCCCCUACCUAUUAAUAUUUGAGCAUCAGGUUGCUUUAAAGCAGAGAUAAAUUUAAUGAUCCUCCCCUAAGUUUUUCCUUGUCAUUAUUGCUUAUUUGCUAACAUGUUGGGGGUUUAAUUCUUUUUCUUGAUCUUUUAAAUUUAUCGCUUGAUGGAAAUAAUUGGGAGGUUUGAAUAUUUACAACAGUGAGAGUCUUUAUUAGUUUUUAAAUAGAUAAAAAUAUCCUUUCUUCCCUAUAGUGCAAAGUGGAAUGGGCUAUUACUACCAUCUCAGUAAAUUAAAUUCCUUAAAAAAAUAAAAGAAAUAGAUUGUGACAAUGUUUAGCCAAAGGAGUUCUCCAGCUGGCUGAACAUUUAUGGGCAGUUCGCCAUCAACACGAGGUAAAUUCACCUACAAGUAGCUAUUUAGAAAACAUGUGUAUAAUGAUGGCUGUUAAACUUACCCAACUGAAUUACACCUAACUUCAGACAAAAGAAUGGAAUAUAUACAUAACCAAAUUGAUGAUAACUAAGAGGAUGACAGUUUAAUUACCAAUAGGAAUAUAAAUAGGGCCAAGUGAAGAGGCUUAAAUUGGUGAUACAGAAUAAUUAUUAGUAAUGAACUUAAGAGAAUAGAAAGUUUAGUUGGAGGCUCAAAAAUACACAGGUGUACACUGCAGUCUGCUCGUUUUGAGUAAAGUGAUCUCCAUGCAGGCAUAGGGAAUUAGUUAAAUCAUACUGUGUACUCCCUGCUGGGCCUACAUCUUUAGGCAAAAGCAACCUAAAUUUAACAUUAAGUGGUGUUGUCAACCUAGUUUGCACAUUUGAAUCACCACUGAUGCUUUUUAAACAUAGUGUGAUCUGGGUCAUACCCGAUCUAAUUGAUCUUGGAUAGGAACCAGACAUUAAGUAUUUUAAAAAUCACUACAGAUUUGUCACAGUUGCAGCCAGGACCAAGAAGCACUGCUCUAAAGACAUUUUGCAGCUCAAAUCGCUGCUCUUGGCUUCUGAAUCAGGGGUGGCUGAGGUAGAUUGUUUUGUUUUUCAGCAGCAGAGAAACAACCAAAUUCAUGACCUGUCCUUACACAUCCCAGGCCCAUGGUUAGUCUUCACUGCUUAUUAGAAAGUAGGGAUGAUUAUUUUUUUCAAAAAGCUAAGUCAGUGUUGGGCUGGCUGGCAAGUAUAAUGGCUAAAGUGAUAGAAGAGUUUCCCUUCUACACACGGGCAAGUUGUGGGUGAGUUAGAUAAACCGAGAUUGGACUAUGAGUAGCUUUUCAAUAAGUACCACCUGGGUUGUAGGCUGCUUGUACAUAUGUCUCCAGUGACCAGGGCAGCAGUAGCACAGGUGCUGGCUGUUUAUGGGAGCUACACGAGCACCAGUCUGUCUCUUGCUGACUUCAUAAGCACCCAUUCUUUGGCUCAGAAACAACCUGAUAGUCAUCUCCCUUCCUCUUCUUUCUUUCCUUGUCACUUUUGACACAUCUCCAGUAUAGCAUUUCACCACAAAUGAAGUUACAUUACAAAAAUCCACUUACAUUUGUAUUUCAUAUUAGGCUACAGGUUCCUUAAGGUUCUGGACAGCUUUAGUCAUUCUAAUAUCUUUAGCUUUCAUCGAAAUGCCAGGCAUGCAAAUAUUUGUAGGUUUAAAAUGACCUGGGAUUCUAGAUCCCCUGUUUUAAUUUGAAAGUAAGAAUGGGUGGGAGAUAGUAGAGAAAGGAAAAGGAAAGGGAGACGCUCACAGCUAUAGAGGUAAACUUCUUCCAGAUACAACCCAAUUCACUAAUAAAUAUCUCUCAAAUUCAUACAUUUUUAUAUCACAUAUUUGUUGCAGCCAUUCUACACACAGAAGCAAACUAGUUAUAAAAGUUAUCUGACAUCAUGGAGCUUACGUUGGCAUAAACUAUUAGUAAAGGAGAAAUAUAAGCAUCAUUAAGAAAAUUUAACAUUUUUUAAUGCUAUGAAGAAAAUAAGAAAUUGAAACAGGAAAUGGUUUACACAUGUGGAUCAGGGUGGGGUGGCAUUUUAAACAGGUGGUUAGAGAAGACCCCUGUAGAAACAGGAUAUUGACUCUGAAACUCAAGCCCAUUGCAAAAAAAGGGAGGAGGGGAAAAAGGAGAUCCCAGACAAAGAGAAUAGUAAAUACAAAAGUCCAGGUAUAGGAGGAAAACGCUUGGUGAAAUUGAGAAAUAAAAUAAAGGCUUGUUUUUAACAUCUACACACAUACAUAUACACAAUAGAUCGGGGCGGGGGUGCGGGGAGAAAGCCCUGUUUAUGAUUAGAUAACUCGUGAACCUGACCUCUUUUACAAAAUCACCAGUUCUCCCAGGCCUUGAGUUAUAAGCCAUCAUACACCCAGGGGCAGGUUUGCUGGCUUAAGAUUGUCCCUGUAAGAUCAUCUCUAAAAGGUCAGUGGGCUUUUAUACUACCAGAGUAUGUUUGAUCUAAAUGACCUGAAUGGUGACUUUAGCACUCCCUCCUGAAGGCUGAAGUCUGACUUCCAAGUACCAAGGUUACAUGAGUCCAGCUCAUUGUCUGGGAUGCACUGAGAGCUUUAUUCCUGAGAAGACCUGGAUCUUCACAGUGAAACCUGCAAUGCCCACCAGCUGGGAGUGCUUUUCUACCUCGGCUUUACUGAUCUGUAUUAUGCAGUGUAAACCACAGGGAAGUGGAAUUAGGUUUGUCUCAUUCUGUCAGUUCUUAAUAAACUCUUGAGUACAGCACCCUUAUUUUAUUCUUCUUUGUAUACCCAGCUCCUAGCACAAGGCCUAACUCAAAGAAAACUGGCCCACAACCUAAAUGCUUUUAGUUUUUUUAAUGGUAAGAAACAAAAAAAUCAAAUGAAAAUAAAUAUUUUUUAACAUAUGGACAUUAAAUGAAAUCCCAAGUCAGUGUCCAUAAAGUUUUAUGGAAACAGCCAUGUUCAUUCAUUUAUGUUUUGCCCAAGCCUAUUCUCCCAUGAUAAAGGCAGAAUUAAGUGGUUUUACAGAGUUCCCUAGUUGCGAUGGAGACUGUAUCGGUGGCAAAUCUGAAAUGUUUACUAUUGACCCUUUAGAGAAAAAGUUUGCCAACCUCUGCGAUAAAUAUUUACCAUGGGAAUAAUGAAAUGAUGCAUAAAUAUAUGAACUAUUAUGGCAAAUUCACUUUCGUAUAAUUACUCCUUAAUAGUAUACACUCUAUGGCAGAGAUCCAGGCAUUAACCUAGACUUUUACAAUUUUAUUUAAAAUACGUGACCAGUGUUAUUUAUGAAUCAUUUUGCCAUGCUGUUCUAAAACACAUUCAAUCAGAAUAACAAUUUUAAUUGUGUUUUCUAAAUGGGCUUCUCCUCUACAUCUCAAUGCCUCUUUUCAUGAGGACCAGCCAGUCUUCCAAGAAAUUAUAUUUAAACUCUAUUAGAAUCAUGAUAAUCAUUUCACUUUAUCAAGCAGGUUUAUGUCCUCUGCAGUGUUCUUCCUUCUGUGUCUGUCUGUAAGUUCUAAACUUUUGCCAUGGGAUAUGCAAUUCUGCUUUAUAGAGAUACAUGACUAAAAGAAACUCAAUCACCUCCGUUACAUGUGAAUUUCAUUUCAUAUUUACAUUUGUUAACUAAUUUCCUAGGUUUUACUGAAUGCCAACAACACUGUCAGAUUGGAGGCAUUGGGAAGGUCACGAAAUGCCACACCAUGUGAAGCCCUUGCCAUAUUACAGCUAUGACCAGCCUGUGAUUGGGUACUGCCAGGCCCACCAGCCUCUCCAUGUCACCAAGGGCUAUGAGGCAGUGUCUCUGGAGCAAGAUGAAAGCCCCGGCAUGGAGCUAGGGCAAGACCACAGCUUCAUCGCCACCAUCGCCAGGUCGGCAGCACCGGCCAUUUACCUUGAGAGAAUUGCAAACUAACGCUGAAGCCAACUCCUCAUUGGGGAACUCCACGGGGGGAGGGAGGGCCUUCAUCUUAAAGGAGAGUGGGUGUCUGAAAUCGUGCAAUCAAGCAAGCUCAUCGUUCCUGUUAAAACAUUUAUGGCAUAGAGAAAAGGAAAAGAUAAAAAACCAAACUGCUUUAAAAGGGUAGCAAAUGCACCUGCAGCAUAACUGGGAGAACUGCAGAACUUUCUUUGCUUUAAAACAUAAAUGAACAAAAAUGCUCCCGGAUGUAAAUAGUAAGAGUGUCAAGUUCUUAUAAAAAUAGAUUUCACCCUAGCUACGUAUAGGUUUGUUUGUAUAUUUGAUUUUUCUACACUGCAUGGUUCCUGGGCUGGAGAACCACAGGAGGGCAAAUAAACAGGGGUGGGCGGGAAGUUGGGUAAACAACAGGCUUCCUCUUUAGGUAUUUGUAACUCUCACAGAUUUUAUUUAAAUUGUUUUCAUUUUCUUUUUUCUUUAAAAAUGCUGUUUGUUCUUGUUUUGUUUGUUUUAAAUUGUUUUUUUUUUUUCCUGGUCAAGUUUCUAAUACAAAACAUGAGCAUUAAACUUUAUGUUGUAUCAAAAGAAAAUGCGUUUUACCACGGACCACAGAGAAAGCUGACCACAAAGUUUGAUAAAACUACUGGAAAGAAAACUCAGUAAGUCUGGGUGAAUGACUCUUCAUGACAAAUGCCAUAUGUGGUACAUGAUAGAAGGAGUUUUGUUUUGUCCAGUUGGCAGCCUUCACUGUGUCGGAUGUCUGAGAGAGCCUUGAAGAUUUCUGAAUGACAAGAUCAGCAGAAUCAUUCUCAUGUGGACUAAGGCUAUAAAAGAGCCAUGACCAUGUGCUCAAUGAAUGAGACUGCCAAGCUGACAAAUUUCUAAACACAAGAUAAUGUGUAACAUUGUUUUUUAAUUGAUUAUCAAUUAGCUUUUGUGUAGUUUUUAUCAAUAAAAGAAAAAAAUGUUGAAAAAUAAAUAUAUUAUUUUGUGGUUGGUGUACCACAGCCCACCUAA